AUGAAAAUCCUUCCUGUCAGUCUUACUGGAGCAGCUUAUCACCCCAUGACCAAUGGCUGUCCCCAGACAGUUUGGGGCACUUGUGGAGCCAGAAAGCCGGUCUUCCUGUUCCUGGCUAGAACCCUCUUCUGCUAUAGUGAUGGAACAGUGGUCUUCAGAAACAAUGCCCGUCAUCUCCACUUCUGUGAACAUGUCCUGUACGGACAUCCCCCAAGAGGGUCCUGUGGAUUCGAUGCCACUCUGUUGAGGACACCACUGGCUCUAGUCCUGAUCCAGAGACUUGGAUGGGGAAGACUGCACGUGACAGAGGAGGAGAGAAGGGCACUUUCAGCAAAGCUGUGCCUGUGUCAGGCCACUCUCCCAGUGCCUCUGACGCUCUGGAAACAGCUGUUGGAGAAGUCAGGUAGGUCCUAG
rnacentral:lncRNA from 1 species